UCAUAUUUUCCAGGAUGCUAAAAAUAGCGCUGAUUGCAACAAUUUGAUCGUCCUUUUCCGUUAGGAAUACCGUAUGUAACAUUAUUCGAUAGCUGAAGAUAACCGAACGCUGGCGAUUAUUCAUCCAAAAAUAGACUGUAGAUCGGUUAUUUCCGCAGGUAAGGCUGAAGAUGCUAUUCGAAAUUUCCGUGUGUAACCGUUUAUAACCGAUGGUUAACGAAUCAUUUCUGCACGCGUGAUACUUUAUGACCUCCUUUUACGACAACCAAAAACCUGUUCAUUACUGCAAAUUGGAGGAAGAAAUUUCGAAUGUCCACAAUAAUUGAAGAAAUAAACCGAUCUGACCAUUAUGAAGUUUCUACCAACAGGUAGUUCAGGAGUUUGAGCAACAAGCCAAGAACAAAAUUUAAUGGCGAUGGCAGUUGUCCGAGUUAGAUUCUGAGGCGUUGAAAUGGUCUGAUAGACCUUUGCUGUGUUGCAUAUUGCACUUCCUAUGAAAACGAUUAAUUACAAAUCCAAUGGAAAGAAAAGCCUCAAACUUCACCACGAGGACGCCAAACACCAGAAAAAACACUGAGUUGUGAAAACGGGGAAUGACUCAAUGAGGUUCUUCUAAGGUUACUAAGAACACUGAAUCUAUGCAAGACAGAGUGGCUAAACAGCACGCUAUAACCAUAGCCUUCCAAAGUUGACACUGCCAUUUACAUUUAUAUAUAGCAGAGCUGCUGAAAUUCACAGAAGGGUUAGAUGAGGAUAAACCUCGGUUAGAUGAGGAUAAACCUGCUCUUGACAAGACCACAACUCGGUUAGAUGAGGAUAAACCUGCUCUUGACAAGACCACAACUAUGUAAACACACGUAGCAUUGCCAAAAGUUAGAAGAAUGGUCUAAAGAAAAAACUUAAAGGACAGAUCUUAUCACUGAAUUCCAGUGAGGCAACAAACAAUAACAAUGAUUAGAUUUUGAAUGUAAUUGCAUUGUAUAUUGUGAAAUAAUGUGGAAAUAAUAAAAUGACAAAUUAAUUUUUGAA
rnacentral:lncRNA from 1 species